rnacentral:rRNA from 1 species
UCGGGAAUGGGUAAUUUGCGCGCCUGCUGCCUUCCUUGGAUGUGGUAGCCGUUUCUCAGGCUCCCUCUCCGGAACCAAACCCUAAUUCUCCGUUACCCGUUACAACCAUGGUAGACCAAUACGCUACCAUCGAAAGUUGAUAGGUCAGACACUUGAAUGAUCCAUCGCCGGUUCGAGACCAUGCGAUCAGCUAAAAUUAUCCAGACUCGCCACAACGAUAACGCCCGAAGACGAAAGGUUUUGAUCGGAUAAAAGCAUGAGAAUCAAAGACUCUCACUUUUAGCAUGUAUUAGCUCUUGAAUUACAACAGUUAUCCAUGUAAAUGUUUACGAUCAAAUGAACCAAAACUGAUUUAAUGAGCCAUUCGCAGUUUCCCCGUACUAGAGCCGUACUUAGACAUGCAUGGCUUAAUCUUUGAGACAAGCAUAUGACUACUGGCAGGAUCAACCAGGUU